CACCAGCCCCUCGAGUGGUGGGGAUGAUUAUUUGGCCUAAAGCGUCCGUAGCCGGCCGGGUAAGUUUCCCGUUAAAUCCAACGUCUCAAGCGUUGGACCGCGGGAAAUACUGCCUGGCUAGAGAGUGGGAGAGGUAAGCGGUAUUCUGGGGGUAGGGGCGAAAUCCUUUGAUCCCCGGAGGACCACCAGUGGCGAAGGCUGCUUACUAGAACACGUCUGACGGUCAGGGACGAAAGCUGGGGUAGCGAACCGAAUUAGAUACCCCGGGUAGUCCCCAGCUGUAAACGAUGCAUGCUAGGUGUUGGGUUGGCCACGAGCCACCCCAGUGCCGCAGGGAAGCCGUUAAGCAUGCCGCCUGGGAAGUACGAUCGCAAGAUUGAAACUUAAAGGAAUUGGCGGGGGAGCACCACCAGGCGUGAAGCCUGCGGUUU
rnacentral:rRNA from 1 species